ACAAGGUCUCCGUAGGUGAACCUGCGGAGGGAUCAUUACACAAAUAUGAAGGCGGGCUGGAACCUCUCGGGGUUACAGCCUUGCUGAAUUAUUCACCCUUGUCUUUUGCGUACUUCUUGUUUCCUUGGUGGGUUCGCCCACCACUAGGACAAACAUAAACCUUUUGUAAUUGCAAUCAGCGUCAGUAACAAAUUAAUAAUUACAACUUUCAACAACGGAUCUCUUGGUUCUGGCAUCGAUGAAGAACGCAGCGAAAUGCGAUAAGUAGUGUGAAUUGCAGAAUUCAGUGAAUCAUCGAAUCUUUGAACGCACAUUGCGCCCUUUGGUAUUCCAAAGGGCAUGCCUGUUCGAGCGUCAUUUGUACCCUCAAGCUUUGCUUGGUGUUGGGCGUCUUGUCUCUAGCUUUGCUGGAGACUCGCCUUAAAGUAAUUGGCAGCCGGCCUACUGGUUUCGGAGCGCAGCACAAGUCGCACUCUCUAUCAGCAAAGGUCUAGCAUCCAUUAAGCCUUUUUUUCAACUUUUGACCUCGGANCAGGUAGGGAUACCCGCNAACUUAA
rnacentral:rRNA from 1 species